AGAGGCGUUCCUUCGUUGAGAACGCUCCUCCCCCUUCUACAGUUGUUCCGAUACCGAUGCUAGUGUCGGAAAUGACUUGCGAGUAGAUUAGUCUAUGCGCCGAUCUGAUGCAUCACGUGACUCCUUUACAACACAGGCAAAGAACAUCACAACACUACGGUGUUAUUCUAUGUUUCGUUAACGGUUAACAUCUCCGACCUACUUGAGUUUGAGCUACCAAGUCAGAAAAACAUAGAUGCUUCUGCUUAACUACAAGAAUAGAAAUGAAUUAAUAUAAUUAUAGAUUAGAAAUGUAAAUGAUCUUGUUCUGAAAAAUAGAUAGUCAAAAGUAAGUGGACAUUGCUGUCAUUGUAAGAGAACCAGUGCCAUCAUCAGUUACAAUGCUGUGUCGGUAUAUACUCGGUAUCGGCCGAUUCUCAAGUUCAGGAAUCGGGAAUCGGGAAGGAAAAAAUGGUAUUUGAACAUCUCUACUCCCUUCUAAACCCCCCCCUCUUGCAGUGGCGGAGCCAGGGGGUGGCCGGGGGUGGCCACGGCCACCCCCCGUAGAAUCUCGGCCACCCCAUUGGCCACCCCAAGCACCGGAUCACAGCGGUCAAAAGUUUUGACGGCUGUGGAAAAAUGCGGAACCUUUCUCGCACCGCUAGUACACUGCCGGACCCUUUAGCCGCGCGCAGCGCGCACACGUCCUGCAUUUGAAUUAAACGGCUCAAGCAUGGCCUGAAUGCCUGUUACCAUCUGACGCUUCGACCGGCACCUGAGGCUAAGUGAAGAAACCCAAAACAGAAAGAUUGAUCAAGAGCAGGACAGAAGAGUCCUCCCUGAGGAGUGGCCCCAGUGGAUCCCCAGAUUCCCACAGAAGAUUCAGACAGCGAGAGAGAGGAGCCUCCAACAACGAGUGGCGGCCCAAGGUACCACCAGGUAUGAGUCAUACCACUCACCGUCCUCAACUGGAGUAGAGUUGGAUGAAUGGCCUCAAAUCUAUAACGUUUUAAGCAGAUUAUAGUGUUCAGAUAAUCCAUUAGAUGUAACAUGGGAUAGUACACUCCAAUGUAUGAGUUUAUCUUGAUUGUUAUUAAUCUCUGUUGUAAUUUAAUAAUUGAAUAUGCCUUUUUUUCCAUUUUCAAACGGACAUUUCCAAAUCAAGAACCGAUAGAUCUUUAAGGACAGUCAUUGAAGUGUUCAGUUUUAAUGAGAUGUCACUGUUUGGAUUCUCUGUCUGAUAUGUGUAAAUGUGGCUCAAACUUGAAUCUAAUCUUGCAGAGUCCGCCUAAUACCCAUUGUGAAUAUGAU